rnacentral:rRNA from 1 species
UACGUAGGGUGCAAGCGUUGUCCGGAAUCAUUGGGCGUAAAGCGCGCGUAGGCGGCCCGGUAAGUCCGUUGUAAAAGUCGAAGGCUCAACCUUCGAAAGCCGAUGGAUACUGCCGGGCUAGAGUCCGGAAGAGGCGAGUGGAAUUCCUGGUGUAGCGGUGGAAUGCGCAGAUAUCAGGAGGAACACCCAUAGCGAAGGCAGCUCGCUGGGACGGUACUGACGCUGAGGCGCGAAAGCGUGGGGAGCGAACAGG